UACGUAGGGUGCGAGCGUUGUCCGGAAUUAUUGGGCGUAAAGGGCUCGUAGGCGGUUUGUCGCGUCGGGAGUGAAAACACCGGGCUUAACUCGGUGCUUGCUUCCGAUACGGGCAGACUAGAGGUAUGCAGGGGAGAACGGAAUUCCUGGUGUAGCGGUGAAAUGCGCAGAUAUCAGGAGGAACACCGGUGGCGGAGGCGGUUCUCUGGGCAUUACCUGACGCUGAGGAGCGAAAGCAUGGGGAGCGAACAGG
rnacentral:rRNA from 1 species